AUUCUUCUGAUUGUUGCUGUGAUUUGCUGUUGCAAGCGCAGAGCAAGAAGGAACGCUAACAGGACGGAGCGCAGUGAACAGAGAGACACUUUUUUGAUGAAGACUCUCAGUGACUCGAACCUUCAUCA